rnacentral:rRNA from 1 species
AGUGAACGCUGGCGGUAGGCCUAACACAUGCAAGUCGAACGGCAGCACAGUAAGAGCUUGCUCUUACGGGUGGCGAGUGGCGGACGGGUGAGGAAUACAUCGGAAUCUACUUUUUCGUGGGGGAUAACGUAGGGAAACUUACGCUAAUACCGCAUACGACCUACGGGUGAAAGCAGGGGAUCUUCGGACCUUGCGCGAUUGAAUGAGCCGAUGUCGGAUUAGCUAGUUGGCGGGGUAAAGCCCCACCAAGGCGACGAUCCGUAGCUGGUCUGAGAGGAUGAUCGGCCACACUGAAACUGAGACACGGUCAAGACUCCAACGGGAGGCAGAAGUGGGGAAUAUUGGACAAUGGGCGCAAGCCUGAGCCAGCCAUACCGCGUGGGUGAAGAAGGCCUUCGGGUUGUAAAGCCCUUUUGUUGGGAAAGAAAAGCAGCAGGUUAAUACCCCGCUGUUCUGACGGUACCCAAAGAAUAAGCACCGGCUAACUGCGU